rnacentral:rRNA from 1 species
GAUGAACGCUGGCGGCGUGCCUAAUACAUGCAAGUCGAGCGAACAGAUAAGGAGCUUGCUCCUUUGACGUUAGCGGCGGACGGGUGAGUAACACGUGGAUAACCUACCUAUAAGACUGGGAUAACUUCGGGAAACCGGAGCUAAUACCGGAUAACAUAUUGAACCGCAUGGUUCAAUAGUGAAAGGCGGCUUUGCUGUCACUUAUAGAUGGAUCCGCGCCGUAUUAGCUAGUUGGUAAGGUAACGGCUUACCAAGGCAACGAUACGUAGCCGACCUGAGAGGGUGAUCGGCCACACUGGAACUGAGACACGGUCCAGACUCCUACGGGAGGCAGCAGUAGGGAAUCUUCCGCAAUGGGCGAAAGCCUGACGGAGCAACGCCGCGUGAGUGAUGAAGGUCUUCGGAUCGUAAAACUCUGUUAUCAGGGAAGAACAAAUGUGUAAGUAACUGUGCACAUCUUGACGGGACCUGAUCAGAAAGCCACGGCUAACUACGU